UGUUAAAAAUUCUAUCGAUUUCUACCAUUAAAAAUUGGUAUGAUUAACAAAAUAACUAGACAGUUACACAUGGCGUGCCUCGUGUACCUCAUUCUAACAUACAUGGAUCAAUUUUUAAUAGUAAAAAUGGAUAGAAUUUUCAACA
rfam:Gossypium arboreum cultivar AKA8401 contig_16115_1, whole genome shotgun sequence.